AGAGUUUGAUCAUGGCUCAGGACGAACGCUGGCGGCGUGCUUAACACAUGCAAGUCGAGCGGAGAUACUCAUGAAUCUUGCGAUUGACUAUCUAAGUGGCAGACAGGUGAGUAACACGUGGGUAACCUGCCCUAUGGUCCGGGAUAACAUUCCGAAAGGGAUGCUAAAACCGGAUAUGCUCACAGCUCGGCAUCGAGCAUGCAUGAAAGGUACCGCCGUAGGAUGGACCCGCGUCCCAUUAGCUAGUUGGUGAGGUAACGGCUCACCAAGGCGACGAUCCAUAGCUGGUCUGAGUGGAUGAUCAGACACACUGGGACUGACACACGGCCCAGACUCCUACGGGAGGCAGCAGUGGGGAAUAUUGGACAAUGGGCGCAAGCCUGAUCCAACCAUGCCGCGUGAGUGAUGAAGGCCCUAGGGUUGUAAAGCUCUUUCAACGAUGAAGAUAAUGACGGUAACCUUAGAAAAAGCCCCGGCUAACUUCGUGCCAGCAGCCGCGGUAAUACGAAGGGGGCUAGCGUUGUUCGGAAUUACUGGGCGUAAAGCGCGCGUAGGCGGAUCGAUCAGUUAGGGGUGAAAUCCCAGGGCUCAACCCUGGAACUGCCUCUAAUACUGUCGAUCUCGAGUUCGAGAGAGGUGAGUGGAAUUCCGAGUGUAGAGGUGAAAUUCGUAGAUAUUCGGAGGAACACCAGUGGCGAACGCGGCUCACUGGCUCGAUACUGACGCUGAGGUGCGAAAGCGUGGGGACGAAACAGGAUUAGAUACCCUGGUAGUCCACGCCGUAAACGAUGGAAGCUAGCCUACGCGCAGUUUACUGUUCUGUGGCACAUUUCACGCAUUAAACUUCCCGCGGGGAGAGUACGGUCGCAGCAUAAAACUCAAGGGAUUUGACGGGGGCCCGCACAAGCGGUGGAGCAUGUGGUAUAAUUCGAAGCACCGACAAAUCUUACCAGCCUGUGACGUCCCGAUCCGGACCGUGGAAACUUGUCCUUCAUUUACGCUAGAUCAGUCACCGGUGCUGCAUGGCUGUCGUCAGCUCCUGUCGUGGAAUGAUGGGUUAAUUCCUCCAACGAACGAAACCACUGCGCCUAAUUUGCUUCCAUUAGGCUGGGGCGUCUCUGUCGGACUGCCGGCGAACAAUUAGAAGAAAGUGGGGAGAGAAGUCGAAGUAUUCUAUGGGCGUUUAUUACGCGAGGGGGAACCACUGCUUUCAAUAGCUCUCACACACAAGGGGUGUGCAGUAUCCGGAGGGGAAGGCAAAAACUCUCAUAUAAGACAGGGGAGUGCUCUCAUCAUGGAUGAUGUGAGUGAUC
rnacentral:rRNA from 1 species